GUCCAGCUGACGAGUCCAAAACAAGACGAAACGCACGUCAUGGUU
rnacentral:hammerhead_ribozyme from 1 species